rnacentral:lncRNA from 1 species
GCAAACGCUCAUCUUCUUCUAUCGGUUUCAAGCGGUUUUUGAACCAACUAUAGAAUAAACAAUCUGUUUUUUGAUGAAGUUCCUCAUCGCUAAGGUUCACAUAUUGUUCCUCAAACUCCCUUAAAUAUGGUACGACUUCAUCACAAUUAAGUAGUAGAUAUGUAAUUGAAGCAAGGUACUCUUUGUCAUCUAAGUAUCGUUUUUUAC